rnacentral:rRNA from 1 species
CUCGUCAGAUGAACGCGGGCGGCGUGCCUAAUACAUGCAAGUCGAGCGAACAGACAAGGAGCUUGCUCCUUUGACGUUAGCGGCGGACGGGUGAGUAACACGUGGGUAACCUACCUAUAAGACUGGGAUAACUUCGGGAAACCGGAGCUAAUACCGGAUAAUAUUUCGAACCGCAUGGUUCGAUAGUGAAAGAUGGUUUUGCUAUCACUUAUAGAUGGACCCGCGCCGUAUUAGCUAGUUGGUAAGGUAACGGCUUACCAAGGCGACGAUACGUAGCCGACCUGAGAGGGUGAUCGGCCACACUGGAACUGAGACACGGUCCAGACUCCUACGGGAGGCAGCAGUAGGGAAUCUUCCGCAAUGGGCGAAAGCCUGACGGAGCAACGCCGCGUGAGUGAUGAAGGUCUUCGGAUCGUAAAACUCUGUUAUUAGGGAAGAACAUACGUGUAAGUAACUAUGCACGUCUUGACGGUACCUAAUCAGAAAGCCACGGCUAACUACGUGCCAGCAGCCGCGGUAAUACGUAGGUGGCAAGCGUUAUCCGGAAUUAUUGGGCGUAAAGCGCGCGUAGGCGGUUUUUUAAGUCUGAUGUGAAAGCCCACGGCUCAACCGUGGAGGGUCAUUGGAAACUGGAAAACUUGAGUGCAGAAGAGGAAAGUGGAAUUCCAUGUGUAGCGGUGAAAUGCGCAGAGAUAUGGAGGAACACCAGUGGCGAAGGCGACUUUCUGGUCUGUAACUGACGCUGAUGUGCGAAAGCGUGGGGAUCAAACAGGAUUAGAUACCCUGGUAGUCCACGCCGUAAACGAUGAGUGCUAAGUGUUAGGGGGUUUCCGCCCCUUAGUGCUGCAGCUAACGCAUUAAGCACUCCGCCUGGGGAGUACGACCGCAAGGUUGAAACUCAAAGGAAUUGACGGGGACCCGCACAAGCGGUGGAGCAUGUGGUUUAAUUCGAAGCAACGCGAAGAACCUUACCAAAUCUUGACAUCCUUUGACAACUCUAGAGAUAGAGCCUUCCCCUUCGGGGGACAAAGUGACAGGUGGUGCAUGGUUGUCGUCAGCUCGUGUCGUGAGAUGUUGGGUUAAGUCCCGCAACGAGCGCAACCCUUAAGCUUAGUUGCCAUCAUUAAGUUGGGCACUCUAAGUUGACUGCCGGUGACAAACCGGAGGAAGGUGGGGAUGACGUCAAAUCAUCAUGCCCCUUAUGAUUUGGGCUACACACGUGCUACAAUGGACAAUACAAAGGGCAGCGAAACCGCGAGGUCAAGCAAAUCCCAUAAAGUUGUUCUCAGUUCGGAUUGUAGUCUGCAACUCGACUACAUGAAGCUGGAAUCGCUAGUAAUCGUAGAUCAGCAUGCUACGGUGAAUACGUUCCCGGGUCUUGUACACACCGCCCGUCACACCACGAGAGUUUGUAACACCCGAAGCCGGUGGAGUAACCAUUUGGAGCUAGCCGUCGAAGGUGGGACAAAUGAUUGGGGUGAAGUCUACAGGGGGAACAAAA